rnacentral:rRNA from 1 species
GAAUAGGCCAUACAGGGGAUGGUUUGGCUUGAGAAUGCUGAUGAAGGACGCGGCAAGCUGCGAAAAUCACCGGCGAGGCGCAUGCAGCCUUAGACCCGGUGGAAUCCUAAUUGUGCAGGUCGCUUUGCGACCUGCAUAGGAACGCGGUGAAGGGAAACAUCUUAGUAACCGCAGGAAAAGAAAACAAAUGUGAUCCAGUUAGUAAAGGCGAUAGAAAG